AUUGAACGCUGGCGGCAGGCCUAACACAUGCAAGUCGAACGCGUGUCGGCCGGGUGAGUAUUGUCUGUGAAACUCCCCGAUGGAGGGGGGUAACUCCUGGAAAAGGUAUCUAUUACCCCAUACCAUCGCAUGUGCCCAGAUGGGAUUCGCUUGUAGGUGGGGUAACGGCUCACCUAGGCGACGCUCCCUAGCUGGUCUGAGAGGAUGACCAGCCACACUGGAACGGAGACACGGUCCAGACUCCGACGGGAGGCAGCAGGGGGGAAUAUUGCACAAUGGGCGCAAGCCUGAUGCAGCCAUGCCGCGUGUAUGAAGAAGGCCUUCGGGUUGUAAAGUACUUUCAGCGGGGAGGCGUUACCCGCAGAAGAAGCACCGGCUAACUCCGUGCCAGCAGCCGCGGUAAUAC
rnacentral:rRNA from 1 species